GUAUUUCCCUCUCCUGAUAGCUCUAAAGCACAUGGACGAGAGGAUGCAAAAGGCUCCAGAAAAAGCAUGUUCAUCAACACAGCAAUUCCUCAAAAAAAAUGUGUCUCGGUCUGUCUUGAAAAGUGGGCUUUGAGAUAAGUGCGCAUGACAAUGGAGGCUGCAAAGGAUGAUGGGAGAACAAGGCCUGGCCAUGUCUUUGGAUUAAUGGUGGUCCCUGGUCUCUGGACUCAACAGAUUGAAGAAGCAGCAGCAGCUGCCUGAUAGAGGAUGCAGCUUUCAGAGACACUAUGGUAAACAUGUACAUUCAUAUACCAGCCAGUUUUAAGUGUUAAUUGCAUUAUUUGCAUGAAAUGUUGUUACCAAUGUAGCAUUAAAGCACAACUACAACCGCUCACCUGCUAUAGGUAUAAUGAAGUUGCGACAGGCAGCAGUUCCCCGUGUAAACAAUUUGCCACAAUGUCAUGUCCUGUCUCAUGCCAUGAAACCACUCUUGCAUCCUGUGCCACAGUGAUAAGCUGUCCCCAUUGCCCUUCAGCCUCAGCACGAAAGAAUAAUAGGAAAAGCUCGAUGCUACUCAGUGAGAAGAUUGCCAAAAAUCCAUAACUGAAAACAAUUGAAGGACACACGCUUCAAGUGUAAGACGCAAGUCUCCCGCUGCAAAGUUCAUUCACAUCCAUUUUGAAUGGUGCGUGAAAACAACAGCUAUCUGCAAAGUUUUUCUCUCGUCCAUCUUUACUGCUGGAAUCAAGCAGGGUUCAGGCUGGAGGGGGAAGAAUGCUUGCCAGUCAGCCAAAAGUGCUCUAUCACUCACAGCUCUUAGCAUCCCCUGCUUCUCGGCCAUAGAUCUCUUGCCUAAUAACACAGCUAGCGGGAGACAGCCCUUCCUCAUCUGGCUGAUGUGAGAUCAUUGAUGCCGUGACUUUUUGAGCCAACGCAAACACAGAGGUUUGCACGGUUAUUGACAGUUAAAUAAGUUCCACCUGUAGAAAAUGAGGGAGAUGUCUCCUCACGGCAGAUUGGAAGUUGUGUUUCAGGAAUAAGUUGGGCAAUGAGGAUGCCACUCUUCAGUGCAGGGAAUGGAGAUUUAUGGGGUUUGGAAUUACAGUAUUUGGCAGCAGGGUGCUGAUGUGGAGUAAUUUUCAGCAGCUGGGGGGAGAAGGGCGGGUCCCACUACAACCACGAGAGCAGUCAGACUCAGGAAAGAGAGAGGAACCCACAAGCAAACGUUUCUUAAGGGAAGGCCUACACAUUUUACAAAGAAACUCUUCUUUUCCAACAGACGCAUAAUCUAUUAUAAAAUAUAAUUUACAAUGUUUACUGUUGAACUAGAUAGUGAAUGCUGUAAGACAAGGCCACCUGGUCCAAACCACCCCACCACUCUACCUCAUCUCCAGUAAAAAAAACAGGUACGGUAAAUAUCAAGCCCAUAUUGAACCUGGGGCGAACUGGGUUGCUUGCAGAACAGGUGCUGCAUUGAUCAUUCAGGAAAAUCCAUUCACGUUGAG